UACAGAGGGUGCGAGCGUUAAUCGGAAUUACUGGGCGUAAAGCGUGCGUAGACGGUUAUUUAAGUCGGGUGUGAAAGCCCCGGGCUCAACCUGGGAAUUGCAUUCGAGACUGAAUAGCUAGGGUACGGUAGAGGGAAGUGGAAUUUCCGGUGUAGCGGUGAAAUGCGUAGAUAUCGUAAGGAAGACCAGUGGCGAAGGCGAAUCUCUGGACAGUUACUGACACUGAGGCACGAAGGCCAGGGGAGCAAACGGG
rnacentral:rRNA from 1 species